rnacentral:lncRNA from 1 species
AAAAUCAUGUUCUUGUGGUUACAUCAUGGAAAUGUUUUUUAAGAUCUUUGGCUAAUUUCGAAUUCAUCCAAAAGAAGAUGUCUUGAUUUGUUUAGCUUUGAGAGUGUUCAUCUGGUCACCUGAUUGGAACAAGGAAGACCACAGGUUGUGAAAAUGGUCUUUCAUGGGCAUUUCUGGAGGGAUUGGUUUUAGCAGCACCUAAGUGAUGUUAUCACCCAAGCCCUUUGAGUUUCCUGCCAUCUAGAAGGAGUACCCAUAGUUGUAGCACAGAGGCAUUCCUAGCCAAUUCUUUCUCCCCCCAGCAGAAGCCAUGGUGACUUUGUCUAGAAGUAAGUGUGGAGGAGGCGAGAUUUUGUGUCUACAUGAGCUUCCUGCACAGGGACUCCUGCGUUCUACAUUGAUCCACGUCACAAUGUCUGGAAAGAAAACCACCCACCGUGCAGGAUGCAGAGUUAGUAAAUUAGAAAGGUGAAAAGUUUAAUGAAGAGUCUAUCUUCUGGAGAAGAAGUACAACAAGGCGGAAUGCUUAAUAUUUUUUUUUGUUUGUUUAGAUUAAACCAACUGAGAGCUCUUUACAUUGUUUACAUUUAUGUUACUCAGUAAGAAAAGCUUUUAACAUUUUCUCUGUUUCAUGUGAAUUGAAGUUGUUUUUAACUAUAUACGAGGGAGGGAAAGAGUCUUCACUAAAGAUGCAGCUCAAGCCUGUUUAGACAGACUCAACCAAUUUUUAAUUUUCUAGGGAGUUAAGGAGUGUGGCAUUUUGAAUUUGUGGUUAAGGGCCUGACUAGAGAUUUUGAUACCAAAGGUUUCGAUCCUGACAUCUUUUGUUCAUGUUGCUAUGUAACUUUGUGCAUUUUUUUUUCCAGGCAGGGUCUCACUCUUUCACCCAGGCUGGAGUGCAGUGGCAUGAUCAUGGCUCACUGCAGCCUCAAACUCUCAGGCUUUGAGCUUCUGAAGACCUUUGUUUCUUUAUAUGUAAUCUGGGGUAAACCCAUGUUGUAUUUUUAAAAGAACAUUUAUUUUUAUUUAUUCUUAUAGACUAAAAUAUCUAUUCUUUAUAGAAUAUUUAUAAGCAUUCAUAUAUAACAUUAUACAAUUUCAAUAAAUAUAUAUAUAUUUAUUUACACACACACACACCCCCCCCACAAUCGUUCAUAAUCCAGCCACUCAGAGAUAACCUCUAUUCCAUUUAUGUUGGACUCCCAGCCACUUAGCCAUCCAUCCGUGCACAUCUGUACAUGUGCAUGAAUCUAACCACCCAUUAAUGAAGACUAGAUUACACAGCACCUAUUUUUUUUUAUAACCUGGUAUAUCCAAUUAAUAUAUGGUGAGUAUCUUCCCACAUUAUUAUAUAUUCUUCCAUAUAAUGGCAAUAAUUUUAUUUUUGAAAAAUCCCCCAUAAUUUAUUGAACCAGGACCAUAUUGUUAGGCAUUUGGUUUGUUCUCUUUUUGUUAGUCAUUGUAAACAAUGCUGCAGCGAAAUCUCUAUGUGUUAUAUCCUUAGGCACAUCUGUGAUUAUUUGCUUAGUCUGAUUUAAACUGGUUGUGAUAACGUGUUUUAAAGAAGUGUGUAUAUAUCUCAUUAUGGAUUAGUGUUUAUGGCACUGUAAUAAAGAUACUUCCAAUACAACU